rnacentral:rRNA from 1 species
GGAGGGUUCGAUUCUGGCUCAGGAUGAACGCUGGCGGCGUGCCUAAUACAUGCAAGUCGAGCGAACAGACAAGGAGCUUGCUCCUUUGACGUUAGCGGCGGACGGGUGAGUAACACGUGGGUAACCUACCUAUAAGACUGGGAUAACUUCGGGAAACCGGAGCUAAUACCGGAUAAUAUUUCGAACCGCAUGGUUCGAUAGUGAAAG